rnacentral:rRNA from 1 species
GCACCAGACUCCUACGGGAGGCAGCAGUGGGGGAUAUUGCACAAUGGGGGGAACCCUGAUGCAGCGACGCCGCGUGGGUGGAGGAGUGCUUCGGCAUGUAAAGCCCUAUCGGCAGGGAAGAAGCAAGACGGUACCUGACUAAGAAGCCCCGGCUAACUACGUGCCAGCAGCCGCGGUAAUACGUAGGGGGCGAGCGUUAUCCGGAUUUAUUGGGUUUAAAGGGUGCGCAGGCGGCAUGGCAAGCCGGCGGUGAAAUCGCGGGGCUCAACCCCGCCCAGCCGUCGGAACUGCCGGGCUAGAGUGGGCGAGAAGUGCGCGGAAUGCGUGGUGUAGCGGUGAAAUGCAUAGAUAUCACGCAGAACUCCGAUUGCGAAGGCAGCGCACCGGCGCCCUACUGACGCUCAGGCACGAAAGCGUGGGUAUCGAACAGGAUUAGAUACCCGAGUA